rnacentral:rRNA from 1 species
ACACGACUACAUUAGAUACCCGUGUAGUCCUAGCCGUAAACGAUACUCGCUAGGUGUCGGCCACGGUGCGACCGUUGUCGGUGCCGUAGGGAAGCCGUGAAGCGAGCCACCUGGGAAGUACGGCCGCAAGGCUGAAACUUAAAGGAAUUGGCGGGGAGCACCGCAACGGGAGGAGCGUGCGGUUUAAUUGGAUUCAACACCGUAAACUCACCAGGGAAGACUGUUACAUGAAGGCCGAGAUGAAGACUCUGCUAGAUUUUCAG